CAACCACCUGGGAGGAAUGAAGACGACGCGCCAACCGGCCGCAACUUAUCCAGAUGGGCGCGUGACGUCAUCUGCCCCCAGCUGAUGAAUCCAACGGAACUGCAGGGACCGAUACGGCGCAGGAGUUCGGGUAUAUCGCAAUACUCACGUGCUGAACCCCGCAGUCUGCAUGAAGACAUCAGUCACAGUUCGACUUCCCUCGAACGAACUGGCUAACACAGGACUAUUGGUACUUACUCCUUGGAGCCAUUCAUUUGGACAAAAACUUGCACAAUGGCGUCUCUCCUUCAAAUGGCAUUGGGCGAUUAUCUUCCCUUCUGCCCCACUUCACAGCUCCUGCUAAAAGACACAAACCAGAUUACUGUCCUUCAGAAAUCUCAUCCCACACAGCUCUCUACUGGGCAGAAAGUUACCACACGUACCCAGACAGAUCUGAUUGGUUGGCACAACGUUCUUAAGUUGGGCAACAUGGCUUCUUGUCUUUAGUGGAAGCCAAAACAUUCAUUCUAACAGGACACAGAAAACUGCUAAAAUAAAAAUUCCUCACAGCAAAGUAGUAGAAAUUGCACGGCAAAUGAAAUUAGUUUAAAAGGUAAUUAUUAUUACAGGAAACACAACAAAGGCCAGAAACUGUAAUGUGACUGUGACCAAGUAAUCUGUUUAGCGAGGUUGGAUCUUUGACUGUUAGACUCUCCUCCCUCCCUUUCAUCCUGAACUCAGUGCCCACCAGGGCUGUGUGCUCUGCUCGCACAUGAUUGCACUGUCAAGCACCUAAGUAAUCA